rnacentral:rRNA from 1 species
CUUGAACGCUGGCGGCAUGCUUUACACAUGCAAGUCGAACGAGUGGCGAACGGGUGAGUAAUAUAUCGGAACGUACCGAGUAAUGGGGGAUAACCAAUCGAAAGAUUGGCUAAUACCGCAUAUUAUUCGAGGGGCCGAUAGCUGAUUAGUUAGGUGGUGGGGUAAAGGCCUACCAAGGCGACGAUCAGUAGCGGGUCUGAGAGGACGAACCGCCACACUGGGACUGAGAUGCGGCCCAGACGACGACGGUAGGAAGCAGUGGGGAAUUUUGGACAAGUGGGUCAACCCUGAUCUAGCCAUGCCGCGUGUAUGAAGAAGGCCUUCGGGUUGUAAAGUACUUUUGUUAGGGAAGCGGUACCUAAAGAAUAAGCACCGGCUAACUACGUGCCAGCAGCCGCGGUAAUUC